AGAUAAAGCAUACCCCCAACAGCGAAAGCAUGAAGAUUCUUGCUCUCCAGAUACACUGUAGUCUGCAAGAGUUGCAUUCCGUGCAAGCUCAGGAAGCUGAGAAAAGGAACAUACUUUACAUUCCAGCCUCCAGAGCACUCACUCUGCUGGGAACUGAGCAGGGUUUCAGCCAGGCGCCCACCCUUUACACCACUCCUGCCUCCCACCCUCUAGAGGAAGAGAGGAUCACAUUACACAAAUGGGACUAAAAAUAUUCUGAGACCACAAAAGUUGAUUCCUUAAAGGAACAAAAGAACAGAAUAGAGGAUGACAGGAACAUCCAGGCUAGAAUAUCAUCACAUCAGAAGCAGCACAGUCCAAGAAAACCAAUCCAAGGGCCAUUAUAAUCUAUGAUUUAUUUAUUUUACAAUAAAACGGGAUUUUCAAGGAAGUAAUGAAAUAUUACAUAUAUCAUAUCUACAGUCUGGCAAGCUCUAGAAAUAAUAUGAGAGGAAUGAUUUGCACAACUAUUUAACAGGGAGUGACCAACAGUGGUCCCUUCUGACAUUAAAAUUUAUGAGAGAAGUAGUUUAUACUGGAAUCCAAAAAAACAGGCAGGGAUGAAGAACAUCAUCGUUUCAAAGAGAAGAAAGCAGCAGCAUCCUCACCUUCAGUUCCUCCUACCUUUCUUCAAGUAUUUCAGACUGCCUGCACCUACAGGUGACCUGCAAAGAAUUUUUUUUAAAUUGCACUUGUGCAUUUUUUAUAUUAUUUUACUUCUUUAUGAUGUAUAAUGAAGACCUGAUUUUUUUUAAUUUUCAAAAUGGCAUUUUCUGCUUGCUUUUAACUUUAGAAAUAUCAGGUAUGCCAGCUCUGAUCUUUCCUGGUAUUGCUGAAGGAUCUCCUAGGAUGUCUUCGUCUUGGAGGAUGUAUACAGUAGAUCUCUUACCUUUAAUUGGGGGUGAAAAUGUCAAAUAAUUAACAAGUGUGUUCUUUUUUCAAAAUGUUAAAACCCACUUAACUUUAAGACUAAUCAACUGUAGGAACACACAGCUCCCGAAUUGCUAGUUCACGGCUGCGGCACACUGCGCCCGUGGCUGCAAGGCCGGAGCGGCCUACACCCCCACGCCUGUGAUUAAAAAAUUUAUUGGCUGACCUAAUCAUCACCCUCGCUGCUCGCUUUCACGUGCACAAGAUAUGACUUUGUUAAGUCAUGUUGAUGAGUAUUGUAUGCUCCUCCUAUGCGCAGAAAUUCAACCACUUAUAAGUGUUGUAAAUAGAAAAGUAAGAUAAUAAAAACCCCAGAGAAAAGUCCCUGGGAGGCUUUUUCGGCUACCACGACCUGGCGCUCUGUCUCCUUCCUUUUUCGUCGCCACAUCUGGUGACCCCGACGUGAUCCCCCCUGCUCACCGGCUGGAUACGCCGAGUGCAUCUCUGCGGCCGUUUGCCGCCCCUGAUUCGCUCCUAUGUGUCGCCCUCCUGUGAUGACAACCUGUUGGCCCUUUUUCUCACUC